CUUCCUCUCCUUUCGCAUAAAAUGAGGUGCAGGAGGUGGCCACACAGAGUUCUGAGGUCAGUCAGGACUCUGGAGUCGUUAGGAAUGGAACGGAAAUUCAGUGCGGGUUUUAAACAGGG